rnacentral:rRNA from 1 species
GUGGGGAAUAUUGCACAAUGGGCGCAAGCCUGAUGCAGCGAUGCCGCGUGAGGGAUGGAGGCCUUCGGGUUGUAAACCUCUUUUAUCGGGGAGCAAGCGAGAGUGAGUUUACCCGUUGAAUAAGCACCGGCUAACUACGUGCCAGCAGCCGCGGUAAUACGUAGGGUGCAAGCGUUAUCCGGAAUUAUUGGGCGUAAAGGGCUCGUAGGCGGUUCGUCGCGUCCGGUGUGAAAGUCCAUCGCUUAACGGUGGAUCCGCGCCGGGUACGGGCGGGCUUGAGGGCGGUAGGGGAGACUGGAAUUCCCGGUGUAACGGUGGAAUGUGUAGAUAUCGGGAAGAACACCAAUGGCGAAGGCAGGUCUCUGGGCCGUUACUGACGCUGAGGAGCGAAAGCGUGGGGAGCGAACAGGAUUAGAAACCCCUGUAGUCC